UUUAAGUGUAGUUAUGAGAUUUUCUAUAUCAAAUAUUUGACCGUUCAUCUUAUUUGAAUUUUUUUUUAAAAAAAAUCACACAUAAAAAUAUUAUAAAAUUUCAAAUAAGACCGACUGUCAAACGUUGGGAACGGAAACUCACAACUGCACUUAAA
rnacentral:pre_miRNA from 1 species